GGGCCAUAGCUCAGUGGUAGACCAUCUGCUUUGAAUGCAGAAGGUUCCAGGUUCAGUCCCUGGCAUCUCCA
rnacentral:tRNA from 1 species